rnacentral:tRNA from 1 species
UUAGAAAAGAUCUUAUAGUUAAAAAUAAAAUUUAAGACUGCAAUUCUUAAGAUGCAAGCUGGCUAAG